CCCCUGCCCACUUGCCAGCCAGUUCGGUGUCCCAAACCAAAACAGGAGGACCUAACGAUUUUCGCUCCUAAAUUAUGGUACGAGGUGAACGAAAAUCUGUUCUUCCACUGCAGACUUGAUGGCUAUCGAUUAAUAGCUACCUGCUCAGCUAAUGGCACUUGGAUACCACCGCCCACGUGUAAAAAGCGUGAUACAUGUGAGAAGAUUCUUCAAAUUAGGGAAGCUUUCCAGUGUGGAGUUCCACUGACAGAACUGAAAACUCUGCUGGAGGUCCAGAAACUCUACCUGGAAAUCCAGAAACUGGAAAAGGAGCUAAGAACCGUAGCAUACGGCUGACCAUCGUUACUGGUAUCAUGAGAACCAUCCUCUUUGCAUGUUGAAUAAUCAUGCUGACUAAGGAUUUUUUUGUGGCUUCGUAAUUUGUACUAAAACUUAAGUAACCAGAACAAAAUUUAUCAAUCAGUCAAGGAACAGAUUUGGUCGUAUGGGGAGUCAGAAAGCGACUUCAUUUGGCUCAUUCUGUUAGAGCUCACUGGGUUAGGUUUAGUACAUCACUGUAUACAUUUUAAAGCUUUACAUUUAGACAUGUUUGUUCUGAUGAGUGCGCAGCUGGAAAGGAACUGAGUGGACAGUAACUUCUUGUUGGAUUUGUGCAGCCGCUGUACAGACAGGCACGUGUGUGGCAAGAGCCACCAGCCCAACUCACCCGCACCUGCUGCACCUCUUCAGCUGCAAUCCAGUACAGCCCAGUGCCACUGGGUUCACAUAUAUUGCGGUCAUUAUUGUGAACAAGCAAUUAACCGCCUAAUUCACUGUGACCUUCAGAACAGGCACAAUGAAGAAAACUUCAAAGCCUGUUUUCCGGCAAAACAAAAAGCUAGGUUUUCUUCCCAAGCAGAACAGGUAUAUCUGAGGCCAUGGCGGUGCCCAUCUUUGUGUGUGCACAGGGAGCAGUUGUUGGAAAUAAAACUGUAAAGAGAGAAGCAGCUGAAUUGUUUCUGCAAAGUCCAGCAAAAGGGAAGCGCUCUGCUAGCAUGCAUCUUGUGAUCAAACCAGUACUCCUUCACCGUGAGAUUGUAAUAAAGCUGCAACUGU
rnacentral:lncRNA from 1 species